ensembl:snRNA U6 U6 spliceosomal RNA
GUGCUCUCUUUGGCAGCACAUAUACCAAAAUUGGAAUGAUACAGACAAGAUUAGCAUGGUCCCUGUGCAAGGAUGACAUGCAAAUUUGUGGUGUUCCACAUUUUUAU